GAAAUUUGGACUUAGAGCUCGAUUUGGGCCUCAGAUUUGCUGAGCCCAAACCCCUUUUUCUCUUCAAAUCCGCCAGCCUAGCUCCCUUACCCGGCCCAAGACCUUUGACCCUCUACCCAUUCCAUCUUUAUAUCAUUUACCUAACCCUAAAAAUGCUAUACACCUGCCCGCGGCGGGCAGCUCCCACCUGCCUGUUUCUGUUCGCCAUUGCCAGCCCCAAACGCCCAUCUCACCGUAACCGUUUCAGAAGCCCUUCUACCCAAGAUUCCUUCUCACUACACACUCUUUCACUCGCCCCCUACUAACCAAAAUCGCGCGUCGAUCUUUUUAGAAGGCAUGUGUUGGAGAUAUAGGAGCCAUAGGAUUGAUUUAAGGUUAAUACUAUCCCCCUAUUUUUUCAGGAUAUGUCUAUAAAAGAAAGGAUUCCACUCUGAGAAGGGGAUUUUUUUUUUUUGGAUCUGGAAAAAGAAAAAGUUUUCUUCUCUGAAUAUUUUUAUACAAAGACAACCGAAAAUCAAUUGGUAUUGUUCAUUUAUUAAAGAAAAUUUCUGGAAAACGAGGCAAAUGUCUGAAGUUUUAUAGCUGAGCUUCAAGUUCUCAACCCUAAUGGGUUGGUUUUUAAGUCAUUGGAGCCAGCUUUCCUGUUGAUUAAGCUUAGGUUUGGAUAUUGGGAGACUCAUUGUUGCUCUCGUCGGUUUCGAAUCCAUUUCCACUGUUGUUUUCCUUGUUUGCUACUGAACCUUGCUAGGAUUUUGGAGUCAAAGGUGUAUUUGCUGAUUCUAUAAUUACUAUAAAAGAAGAUUGCAAUUUCAGGUUUAAUCUCUUCUCCUAUGUACCUUUGUUUUAAGGUGUUAUUGAGCCAUGGGGAUUUGUUUCUAGAAUGGUGUUUUUCUUUGAUCAAAUUUCAUGAGGAAGUCGAACUUGGGAUUAUCAUUUAGUCUCAAUUCAUAUUUGAAAGUGAUAUUUGAUACGUUGUUCUUGCUGUUGAAUCUUUUCUCACUGGUUUGAUGUGCUUGAGUACGUUUAGUCAGUAAGAGUUGAUUUGAGUGGUCGUUUUUCUAUACUUUAUAUGCUUUAACUGUUAUUACGGUGUCGAAGUAUCUUUUGAGUCAAGAUUUCAUCGCUUUCAAAUGGACGAUGUGUUCAGCUUUGUAAUUGUUAAACGAGCAUAAACCUGUGAUGCUUAUUCUCAUGGUGUUUCUUUGGCUUAUUCUGCUAUCAAAAGAACGAUCGCAUGUCCUUAGGAAGUCAAAAUGGCCGAUCGAAUUUGAAACAGUGUUAUGAGUCUAAUUAGCCUAUUCUUCUGAAAUCUUCCUUAUUCGCUUGGGACUUUUAAACUAGUGUCGCCAUAUUAGCCUGACUAAUUGAUUUCAAGAGUUUUGUCGAUCAAUGACUUCCUGAUUUUUUAUUAAGGAUUAGCUACUUCACAAAAAUGAGUUCCCUGUGUGUUUUUUGCUGUCCACGAAAUGUUUUGAUGUUCAAAGUAGUCUGCUCAUGCUAAAUGCUUAGUCUCUACAUGUUUGACUUGAAUUGGUUAGUUUUAGGACUGCUAAACGAGUCAUGAAUCACUAAAGUGCCCUGUUUUCUGAUUUCAUGACCAUUUUAAUGCGCUUUGCUGGCUUGAAAUUGCUGAAAUUCUCCUUGAUAUUGUUUGUCUCUUGUUGAUUACUUGUUUAUCUUAAAACAUGCUCUGUUAUGCUAAAGGCAGUAUGGCUGAUCUCUGAUUGUCAGGGCAGCAACCGUGCUUAAAUGAUAAAUUGAUGCCCAUGUUUGGUAGUCUGAAGAACACUAAUUCUAAAUUUGGAUUAAUAAUGUUGUUUCUUCUAUAGUCAUGGCUCAAUGCUAGGUUAACUUGUAUGAUUGGAUUGAGUUAUUACUUGGUUCUGUUAAUCAAUUUUAAUGCAACUCUUUGUAUUAAUCAUUUUUCAGGAAUUCAAAAGAUGUUCGUUUCGAAUUUAGUUGGUUACUGCUAUGAUCUUCUAUUAUAUUAAAGGUGGUUUGAAGCAUGUUUUAGCUGUCGUUAACUUGAAUUAUUUUGUUUUGUUGAAGCUUAGAGUAUGGGAUUCUGCUUUGUUUAAUUGGUAUGUUAUGGCAUGCUAUUUUUAUUUGAUUUUGUUCUAUAGCAGUGGGUAGUGUCUAGCCCAAGGCAGCGCCUAGGUUGCAAGUUUGAGGGCAGGAGCUAAUUCUGAUUUUUUUUAUGCCUUGGAAACUAUCUUGUUUACUGCAAUUCUUAUAUUAUUAAAUCUGAAAUUUUCAAGUGUGUUGUGCUUGGUGUUGAAGAUCAUAUUAAAUCACUUGGGAUACUAUUUUCAUUGAUCUGUAGUAAUUUUUAGGGAUAUUAGGUAGCACUAUUUCCUCCCUACUUCCGCUAAGUAUGGUAUUUAUGCUUACUGAUGUUUCAAUAUUGUUUCAGUAUUGUAGUUAGUGAAGGUGGUGUAGCGAUAAUGAUGUGUCACAUAUUUUGUUUUGAGUUAGUCUUGAUGUUCUUGUGAUUGUUUCAGUACUGCAAAGGAAAGCAUGUGCGAACGAUAACUUCUUUUUUGUUCUGUGCUAUAUGUUUAGGAUGGAUGGGUUAUUUGCUCGUCCCUUCCAAUCUAUAGGGAAGGAAAGGAACCAGUAUAAAUAAAUACAACAUUCAUUGGGUCUCUAGGUUUUAGGUGAUAAUAAAAUUCUCAAAAUUCGGGUGCACAUUUCAUGCGACUCGACUACAACUUCAAAUUAGUUUAAAAUAUGAGCAUUCAUAGCUUGCUUUAGGUGCAAUGUAAUAAAUCAUCAUAUCUACGGGUAUUGUUCCCAUGACGUAGUUGUGAUACAUAAUUUCAAAAUCUAGGUGUACAUUUCAUGUGACCCGAUAUCAAUAAUGUUAAAUAAAAUAAACAUGUUGUGAAGUGCAGGUGCAUAUCAUGUAGCAUGGUUUAUGAUGUGUUUUCAAAAACAAACAAGUGUAUGAUGAUCACGAAUUUUCUUAAAAAAACAUUAAAAGAGGUCGGAAAGUGAAAGAUGCACGUAGGUUUAAAAUGUGUAAUUAAUCAGAUAACUAGGCCAAUAGUAAUAGUUGAGUGACUGUGCUAAAACCAAGGAACCCGAGAAUGCCUAACACCUUCUCUCGUGUUAACAAAAUUCAUUACCCCGAUUUCUGUAUUUCGCGGAGUAUAAAACAGUGUCAAACUUCCUCGAUUCGGAAUUUUAAACUGGUGACUUGGGACACCAAUAAUUAUCCCAAGUGGCGACUCUGAAUUUGAAUAAAUAAUCUCGUUUCAGUUUUGUCCCUUUAAUUGAAAAAACUCUCUUAUACCCUUUUGGGUAGAAAAAGGAGGUGUAACAGUUCCCAUAGAUUUGUUUUAGAAAAUGCAUUCCAAAAGAAAAUUUCAAAAAGAAAAAAAAGAGAGAGAUAAAGAACAAAAAGAAAAGAAAAAAGAAAAGAAAAAAAAAGAAAAAAAAUAGCAACAAAAAAACAAAACAAGAAUUAGUUGUGAGCUACGUUCGACCUGAUUCUUGUCACCACAAGAUAUGUAGGAAGCCUUACGGUUCGGUCACACCAAAUAAAAUAUCUCAUAAUCCCAUAAAGUCAAGAGGAGGGCGGUUUCUCUUAGAAUCAAAUUCUCCUGUUUUAGAAAUUGGGGCAAAGUUUUUAAAUGGAUUUCAAAAGUUGUAAAUAAAUUAACUAUGUUAUCUUAGUUAUUUUGAGCCUUUAUGAUAUCUCUUCUUUCUAACCCUGUCCAAAAGCCAUAUUACAGUCCAAAAAAGACCUCCCAGAUAAUGUUUGAGAGUGUUGAGUUUAGACAUGCCAAGAGCAUAUCAUAUUUUUGCAAUGGUUAAUGCCUUGUCAUUUGCAAAAUCAAAGGAAAUAAGAAGAAAAGAACAAAAUGAGAGAGUCCUAUUGGUGAAAACCUUCACAGGUACCAAAAGACGACGGUGAGUUGAGAGAAAAAACAAAAUGAGAGAGGAUUGAUGGUUAAAAUCCAUUGGGCACUACAAGUCGAAUAAGGAUCAUGAAUAAGAUAGGAUAAUCGGAGCAUUGAAACCUAGUUUCACGGCGAAGAGGUACAACAAGAGUUGAAUAUUAGACUUGCUUGACAGAUUAGGCCACUUAAUCCAAAAGUGCAUGUCAUGGUCAUUAGAGUUGGUAUCCACAUGUGAUGACUCACUUGUGUUGCAAGUGAAUUUAGUGUUUUGAGGCCUAAAAACCUCCCUUUUACCUCACCUUGAUUUAUGUCCGUGGUCCGUACCUAUAUCCGGAAAGCCUUCUAUGUGAAAAUAUGAGAAAUAGAAAUUUUUGAGUUAAAAAAAUUGAUUAUGGUUGACUUUGGUCAAAAUUGUUAGCAAAUGAACCGGGAUCCGUGUUCUGACGAUCCCAGGAGGUCCGUAGUAAAAUAUGGGACUUGGGCGUAUGCCGGGAAACAAAUUCUGAGGUCCCAAGCCCAAGAAAUGAAUUUUUGAAAGAAAUUGUUUUCUGAAAAAUAUAAAGAUUUUUGAAAGUGAAAUGUUAUGUGAAACCUGUGGUAUCGGGCCCGUAUUAUGGUUCCGGAGCCCGAUACAGGUUUGAUAUGAUUUAUAUAUGUUGUAUGUAAAGUUUGGUGAACAACGGAGUUUAUUUGACGUGUGUUGGACUUCCGGUUGGAGAGUUAUAAACUUUGAGGGUUCUUGAUGAAAAUGUUGACUUUUGAGGUUUAAUUCAUGAUUUUACAUGUUAUUUUGAUGAUGUGAUCGCACGAGUAGGUCCAUAUGAUAUUUUUGAGGUUGUGUGUAUAUUUGGUUGGAGCCCCGAGGGCUCGGGUGAGUUUUGGGUAGGUUUCGUGGUGUCUUAGGCUUAAAUAUGGCUAUAGGAGGUUCAGAAAAACUGCAGCUCUCUAAACCUGCUAGUGCGGUCCGCACUGGUUUUGUGAUGUCCGCACUGGUGGCUCUGCGGCCGCAGUGGAUCUUGUGCUGUCCGCACAGGUUCACUGGUGACUGUGCGGCCGCAUUUGAUUUUUGUGUGGUCCGCACAGGGAGUCUGAGAGGCUGUGCGGCCGCAGUUGAUUUUGUGCGGUUCGCACAGAGGGUCUGAGAGGGGUAUACUAAGAUGAGAUUUUUAGUUAUUUUUCAUUUUUCAAAACCCAAAAAACAUAAGAGACGAUUUUUCAAAUAACUUUUCUUCUCCAAAACNNNNNNNNNNNNNNNNNNNNNNNNNAAAUUGGGUGUUUUGGGUAAAACCUAGGUAUUUUUAAAAAAUUGGGGAUUUGAAACUCGAUUUGAGGUCCGAUUUCAAAACAAAUUAUGUAUUUGGGUUCGUGGGGGAAUGAGUAAUCGGGUUUUGGUUCGAACCUCGGGUUUUGACCAUGUGGGCCCAGGGGCGAUUUUUGACUUUUUGGGUAAAACUUUAGAAAACUCAUUUUCAUGUAUUGGGGUUGAUUCAUUUAGUGUUUAUUGACGUAAUUAUGUAACUUGUGACUAGACACAAGCGAAUUGGUGGUGGAAUCAAGGGGUAAAGCUAUAGUUGUAUCGUGAAUUGUGUUCGUGGCAUCGAGGUAAGUGUUUGGUCUAACCUUAGCUUGAGGGAUUAAGUGUUUUGUCUUAUUUGCUACAUGUUAAUUGUGGAGUACGACGUAUAGUCAUGGUGACGAGUAUCUAUACGUUCAUGUCAAGCAUGCCCGUGAGUCUUGUAUUAUAAUUGUUAUGACUCUGUUGUGGUUUAUUGCGCUUCAUAUGUUAUUAUCACCAUUGUUCCCUUGUCGGAAUAUUUGUUUGAUAUUAAUGAUCCCUUACCGGGAUGUUUGUUUGGAUAGUAUUGUUCCCUUGGCAGGAUGUUGUUGAAAUAUCAUUGUUCCCUUGCGGGGAAGUUGUUAUAUUACUCUUGUUCCCUUGCCGGGAUUCCUUGUGAUCAUUGUUAGCUUGUAAAUGGGAGUGGGUGGUACCUACCACAAGAUAUAAUGAAAUGGGAGUGGGUGGCACGCCUACCACAAGAUAUAAUGAAAUGGGAGCGGGUGGUACGCUUACCACAAGAUAUAAUGAAAUGGGNNNNNNNNNNNNNNNNNNNNNNNNNAGCGGGUGGUACGCCUACCACAAGAUAUAAUGAAAUGGGAGCGGGUUGUACGCCUACCACAAGAUAAAUGAAAUGGGAGCGGGUGGUACGCCUAUCACGAAAUAAAUGAAAUGGAAGCUAGUGGCACGCCUGCCAUGAGAUAAAUGAAAUGGGAGCGGGUGGCACGCCUACCACGGAUAAAUGAAAUAGGAGCGGGUUGCACGCCUGCCACGAGAUACAGGAAAUGAGAUUGGGUUGCACGCCUGCAACAAGAGGUGAAAAGAAAGUGAAAUCUGCCUUUGUUUUCCUUAUUCUUGUUAGUGGUUGGAUUUUGAUUCCUUUAUAGUUCUCUUGAUAUUCUGUUUUACCUGUUUUCCCCGAAGUAUGUUUCCCCUUCCCACCUUUAUUUGUUUAUUCUGCUUUACUUUCCGCUAUAUAUUAAGUAACUGCAUAGGUUUAUUUGGUAGUCUGGUCCUAGUCUCGUCACUACUUCGCCGAGGUUAGGCUAGACACUUACAAGAACAUGGGGUCGGUUGUGCUGAUACUAGACUCUGCACUAUGUGCAGAUCCCGGAGCAGCUUUUGGACCGUAGUGUGGAGGCUACCUUCAGUCCAAGGUAGACCUGCAGGCGUCCGCAGGCCCUGACGUCUCCUAUAUUCCCGUGANNNNNNNNNNNNNNNNNNNNNNNNNUUUUUGAUUGUGCAUCCUUAUAAAAUUAGGGAAAAAUAAAACAAAAAUACAAAAUGAAAAAUGAGUAAAAUAAAUAAAAAGAACAAAAAAAAGGGGGAAUAAAUAAAAGAGGGCUGCUCACAAUUGGACCAUUUCAAUUAAAUUCACCUAGCUCAAAGAAAAAAAAAAACAAUCAGACCAAACACACCCCAGAAAUCGGCCCAAACCCGUCCCUCUACCCGAUCCGCCCCUCUUGCCCUCGAAACGACGUCGUUUCGUUCCCAGUUAAUCUGGACCGUCGAGGUUGAUUGAUCAGACGGUCCAAAAGCACACCCCAUUUAAUAUAUAACUGUCCUAAAGACCCCCCCUCUCUCGGACCCCAUCAUCUUCCUCAAGCUUUCUCUCUCUCACGAAUCCUAAUUGCGCCGCCCUGAUUUCUCCGACGCCGGCAAUGGCGGCGCCGACGCCAAUCACCACGAAAUUCACACCCCAACUUCCCCUUCUCCUCCUCUGUCCAAAUCCAUCGGCCUUUUCCUUCGAAUCUUACCUGAACCCUUCGAAUCUUCGAUUGAAGGUUUUCCGGCCAUGACACCACCUCGUCCAAAUAACAUCAAAUUCACACCAGGUGUUCACCUCCCUCCCUACAUCACGAAUCCAUGCCCAUUUCACUUCGAAUGUUCCCCGUUUGUUUCGAAUCUUCAAUCGAAGUCUGACCGAAACCCUAAUUGCUCCAAUCCCUACCAAAUCGAUACCAUACGGUCCCUGGGGUUCCCUCAUGAUGAAUUCAAGGUCGACGGCGUUCAAAUCCUUUUGGAAUUGGCCGAUUUGUAAAUCUGAAAUGGCCAGUAAGUUCCCCGCUAUUGUUUUCCCUUUUUCUUUUCUUUUUGGUAAUAUUGUAGUUUUAUUUUGUUAAUAAUAAAUGAUAAUCUGAAAAUCAACAGAAUCUUCUUUAAUUCUGUUUUCACUUGUUCCAUACCCAUCUGAUUUUGGUUUAGCCUUUAGUUUAGUUCGUCGAUUAGUUUAAACUUGUUAAUUGAUUUAGUAAAUUUGUUUGAAUGCAUUUAGAGAUUCAUUUAGUUUAUGUUCUGUUUUGCAUGCUGUGUGUUUUUAUGUUUUGAUAGUUUAAAUCUGUUAAUCUUGAUUUUGUAGUUUAGGCUUAGUUUAGUUAAAUGUAGUUAGAUAAUUGUUUAGGUAUAGCUAUGUUAAUUUUUACUUUGAUGGUUAAGAGUUAAUUUGGAUUUGUUCCUCAAUAACUGGUAAAUCAAGCAUAUGAACUUGUUUGGUUAUAGCUGCGAUUUCAGUUUAAGUUCAGGGGCAGUUUAGGUAAUUGAAAUUGGACAUGAAAGUUGUAGGUUAGAAUAGAAGGCCCCAGAAUCUUCUAGAAUAGGGUCAAGUGUUGGUUUUCAGUAAUUGUAAGGUGCUAACUUGAGUCACAAGCUAAGAAAUAAGGGACUAAUUGAAUAAAUAGAUAGGGACUGACAUAGAAAACAAAAAAUAAGGGCUGCCCUCAGCUCUGCCUAUAAAAGGCAUGCCUAAGUGCCUUAAUGGAGGAGGUUGGAACCCCAAAAAUUCCCCCCAAAAAAGUUCUCUCUAGUUUUCCAGAUCUGAAUUUGAAAUUCAAUAUUCAAAAACCAAAAACACUAGAAAACCUUCAAAAAUCCAAAAAAAAAACUAUUGUUCCAUUGUUAAACCUUAGGUUAGCUUCAAGUUUUAGUUAUUGAUUCACAUUCUUAAGUUUGAUCUUUGAUUGCUGAAGUUCAGAAGUUCAUUUCGAGUGAUUUUGGGGCUAAUUAAGUUGGUUUUUGUUUGAGUUUUGCUCUGUUGAAGUUUUAGAAGUAUUUUGAGUUUAAUUCCGAUGUCGUUUGGGUUUAUUCGAGUCUGUUUCGGUUUGAUCUGUUAUUCCUGUUCGAUUUCAAACACUUCUGGAUUGUUGAAUUCAUUGCUGGACUGUUCUUUUGAUCAUAUGCUCCUUGAUUGUUCAACACUGUGGGUCGUUGUACAUUGCUGCUGCAUUACUGCCAUAGCUGACCUCUUCUCCCUUCUUAUUUGCAAUUUUCAGGUAUUAUCCUUGGCCUCGUCUGAAUUGCGAAGGAUCCAUGUAAUUUUCUGAUUUGGAGGCUGAAUGAUGAAGAGCUUGAGUUAAUUGCUGAGUUUGCUUGGUUUCUGUUUAGUAUUAAGAUGAAACAGUCACGUUUAUACAAAACAUGUGUAUCGUUUGGAUAGGUUCUGGACUAUAUUGACUGAUAGACUAUUAAACAUAAAUCUGCUUGGUUGAACUACUAAUUACAUGUUUGUAUAUCUAAGAAAUGCUGUUAUUUUCCAGAUUCCCAUAUGAGUUAAAUGUUGAUCUAGUUCAGGUAGUCGCAGAAAACAGGUCCAAAAUGGUUUCAUGUUUCCACUGCUAAAUCCAGGUCCCAAAAUCAUGAGAUCACCUGAA
rnacentral:lncRNA from 1 species